AUUGUGUCCCACUGUGUCACCAUUGUGUCCCACUGUGCCCCACUGCGUCCCUUUGUCCCCAUUGUGUGCCCUAUUGUGUCCUAUAGUGUCCCAUUGUGUCCCAUUGUGCCCCAUUGCGCCCCACUGCGCCCCAUUGUGUCCCUUUGUCCCCAUUGUGCCCCAUUGUGUCCCAUAGUGCCCCAUUGUGUCCCCAUUGUGCCCCAUUGUGUCCCACUGUGUCCCAUUGUGCUCCAUUGUGUCCCACUGUGUCCCAUUGUGUCCCAUUGUGUCCCAUUGUGCCCCCAUUGCACCCAUUGUGCCCCAUUGUGCCCCAUUGUGUCC
rnacentral:lncRNA from 1 species